GCUUGCCGGCUCUCUGCGGCUGUGGGCUCUCGCGGAGUGCGAAACCGGCUCACCAAAGCCGGAAGCGCCGCAGGACCGCCAUGGGCUUUGAGGCGGCCCGAGAAGGGCCAGGCUUCGGAGCCUGCCACCUGACGAAGGCGGGACAUGGGGGGACGCGGCCAGAAACGUAGGUCUGCGACGAGAGCUGCCCCCGCGGCACUAAGGCUGGCUCAGGAGGCGCCCGGCUGCGGGGGAAGCAGUAGUCGCUUCUCCUCGGCCUUCAGGAGGGAACGGAGGGGAUGGCUGUGCAGAGGCACCCUCGGGUCCGGCUGCAGAAGGAGCUGGCCUGGCGCUCCCCAUCAGUUCAUGUGGUGUAUCCCACUAAUCCAGUCAUCUCUGAGGUGUGUUGAUGGUGAUGAAUAUCCCGGCAAACCUGGCAAGACUGUGUCCCAGAUCUACCAGUUAACGGUGAGUCAAAUUUUGUGUUCAUUUAGGCUGCAGAAGCCUUUCAGUUUUUGAUUUCUCAAAAAGGGAGUCCACGAAUUGAUGCUAAAUUGGUGUGUUUGUGGGAAUAAGGAGGUCCUCGGCUUCCUACACCAUGUCUUGCUCUAGAAACAGCACUGGUACUUGUUCUCAAGGAACCAUCCACCCACUCUUGGAGUACGGCCCCAGCGCUCGUGGUGGCUGUCACACCCACUAGCACCAUAGUUUCAGUAACUGCUCCCUGAGAGUGCGGAGACCAUCCUGGAAGCUUAACUAGUUCUGUGGCAAAGGAGCUCGAGCUCUUGACCAUUCCAGUGUUGGAAUGAUUUAUCGUUUUCGGAGCACUGGGGCCAUCAUUCUGUGAUGUGUUCUUUGUUCAACAAAUAGCGUGGUGUCCUAGGCAGUGGGGAAACAGACCAAGUCCUCAGGCCAUUCCUGACUCCUGUUUCUCUCCUACCACACGUCUCAUCUCAUCACUAAGUCCAGUGGCUCUACCUGCAGAGUAAGCCCAGUUUGAGACUUCCAGUGCCCUCCUCAACCACAAACUGCUCCAAACCACCAUCAUCUCAUAUGGCCUCACUAUUCCAGUAACUCCUGAGUUCCUUGCUUUACCUCGGGCCCCAUAGUCUAAUCAUAACACAGCAACUGAGCGAAUGCAUAGAAUUGUGAGUCCGACCUCCUGUUCCUUUGCUUCAGUGGUUUCUCAGAAUAAACACCAGAUUCCUUAAUGUUACCUGACGGAUCUUACACAAUCUGGCCUCCAUCUCCUUUCUGACAUCUAGUGCUCUCCUCUGUCACUCCACCAUGCUCGCCUUCUUGCUUGAAGCGAUACAUGAUUGACUAUGAAGUAGGGAAGUCAGUCAUUGCCAUACGUAUCCACACAAGGUAAAUAAGGUUUGGGCAGUGCACUUGGGUAAGCUUCCAACCCAAGCUUGGGCCUUGAAAGAGAGAUUUAUACUGGCAGAUGAGAAGAGGGAAGCAAGAGGACCCAGUAGAUGGGAUUGAGCAAAGGCAGAGGGUUGUAGCACUCUAGGGAUAUCUCCAUAUGGUAGCCAUGUUUGUUUGCAAACCAGUAUUAGGCACCUGGAACAGUACAGGCACCACAGUAGGGGGUUUGAGACUUACUUACUGAAUGAACGAGAGAUAUUUGGAUGGUACUUAGUGGGCAAUGGGACAGAAGGUUUAGAUGGCACCCAUUCAAGGAACACUUGCCUGUAUAGGAUUUGAGAAACAAUAUGGCGCAUGUUUUUGGCAGAGAGGUUGAAUUUUGGAGGGAGUAGACAGAAAUAAAGCUGGAAAGAUAGGUCAAAGUGAGAUUAAGGAAGGGCUUGGAUGUCACUCAGAGGUUUACAUUAGGUGUGCUCAGGGAGAUGUUGGGGGGCUUCCAAGCAGAGGGAAACCAGAUGAAGUGACUGUCAGUCUGGAGUCUGGAAUGAUGGCAAUAGUGACUGGAGCCCGGGAGAGACAUGUUCCAGAACCUCAGGCUUAACACACCGUGGGCCUACAGUACUUGUUAAAUAAGGAAUUGAAUUGCAGAGGGGAUAUUGGGGCUAGAAUGGGAGAUUUAAGAAAGUUUCAGGAAUGAGGGAUCAUUAAGAAUUGUCUUUGAAGGAUGAGGAGGAAAUUUGGAGGGUCUGGGGACACACUUCCCCACGUCUUCCCUUUCCAUCAGUGCUUUAAGAGGAAAAACCUGAACAGAGACAUGAUCCUCACCUGUCAUGUCCUGGCCACCAUCCUGGUGUGCUCUUCCCUCGUCUCCUCCUGGGUGGAAAGAGAACUGCCCGGAGAGGCCUGCGUCCUCGUCAGUGCACCCUUCAAAGACCAUAGGAGUCAGACGUGUUGGGAGCCCAAACACAAGCCCAGUGAGUCCCGGGAUAAGCUGCAGCCUUGGGUACCUGCCGCCCCGGCCAUUCCUUCCUGCUCCCUGGACACCUGGGCACCGGGAAAACCGGGGAGUGGACCCUUAAAAAGGAUGAACUUCUCAGACUCUCUUGUCCUUCCCUGAUUCGAGCCUACUUCCUCCUGGGUAGAGUUUUCGCGGUCAGCGCCCUUCUUCUCUCAGUCUGCUUCAACUUUGUGUUGCUGACCUUCCCGCAGUUACUCCCGGAGACCCAGAAGCAGUAUGUUUCCUGUGCUGGCGUCUUCAUCGUCACAGGCAAGGAGAGGCGGGAAUGAACUCGGAAGGUCUUGGCUUUGGGUUAGGGUGGGAUUUUCGCUUGAUCUGCUCUUUAAUCACUGUGCAGGGAAGUACAGAGGAAGAGGAAAGUCUAGGAGAAGCACAUCAUCUCAAAGGAGGCAGAAGGAAAGUGAGGGGCAAUAGCAAUGGCACGAUUCUGGUUCAUCGAUCACGACCCGCCGUGAAACCUUGGAGGACUGGCGGAGGCUAAUCAGGAGACCUGCAUCUCCCCUUUCUUGGGUCCACAGGUCAUUUUGUCUUCCUCUCAUUAAUGCAUACAUGCAGAUUUUGGAAGUGUCUCAGGGACCCAGUCCACCAAAAGUCAAAGUAAGCUUCCUUACUUCAUGAACGUGUCCAGCUCUGUCCUUUCUAGUGUCUGGUCAGUGAUCAUUGGAUUCUGGUGAGGAAGGUGAGUUAACCUCCCAGGCAGUGGGUAAAGCUCAUUUCUUUGAUCUCCUUUUUUUUUUUUUGUCUUAGAGUCAAACAUGUGGAAGUUACAUCUGCAGCCGAUUAUCUAACUUUCUCCAGUUCCUCUGUGGUUUCUGGGCAUUGGUGGCCCUUACGAUGUUUGCCCGCGACUUCUUCCUAUUGUCCAGUGACCUGUAUUAGAAACUUUGUUCCUUCAUGAUUUCUUCCUGCAGUUCAGCUUUGUAAUAUAAAUCCUCAAAUUGGUAUUGAGAAGCAAUCUCUCUACACCAACUUGAACAAGGGGUCGAAUGCAGAAUGUGGGAAAGAAUUGUUUUCCUUUCUUGACAACAGGAAACAGAAGACCACAUGUAGGACUGGUUACAUAAUUUGGGUGGCCCGGUGCGCAAUGAAGGUGUGGAGUCUCCUGGUCGAAAAUUAUUAGCAAUUUCAGGAUGCUGACAGCAGAGCUUUAAAGCAAGCGUGAGCUCCUCCGAGUGCAGGCCCCGUGUCGCUGCCCAAGUCGCACGUCCUGGAAGUGAGCUCGGACAGUGUGUUAUGCGUUCCCAGCGUUUGGAAGCUGUUGGCGUUUUAAAAUCUCGACCUUGCCACAUGGAUGUCGUCUCAUCGGAAGACACAGAGCUGGGCCUGGAAUCACGCAGAAGGCGUGAGUGUGGUGCGGCAGACUCCGCGCCCUAACUGGGGAUUUCUCAGCCAUUCACCCCAAAGACGGUGUCACUGAUUUGGGAAGGCCCUGACUUCUUCCCCUUGUUCUGUUCAUUUCUCUUUCUGGAGCCUCGGGCCACAGGUCUGUUUCGGGGCAGAGGAAGGGAAGGGGUAGCAUUGUGUGUGCGGGACUAGCGGAGAGGCGGCCUUCGCGGCGGCCUUCGCAGGUGCCUGUUCGCCGUUAUCUCCGCUUCUCUGUGCUGCUGGGGGCCUGCCUCACGGGGGUGUCUCCUUGUCCUAAACAAAGUCCUUUCCCCAUCUGUGAAGUUUAGGUUUUAAUAAAAACUCUUUUCCCUCU